AAUCAACGCUGGCGGCGUGCCUCAGACAUGCAAGUCGAACGAUUAAAGCUCUCUUCGGAGGGUGUAUAGAGUGGCGCACGGGUGAGUAACACGUAAGUAAUCUACCCUCGAGUGGGGAAUAACGUCCGGAAACGGACGCUAAUACCGCAUAAUGCAGCGGCACCGCAAGGUGACAGUUGUUAAAGGAGAAAUUCGCUUGAGGAGGAGCUUGCGGCAGAUUAGCUUGUUGGUAAGGUAACGGCUUACCAAGGCUACGAUCUGUAACCGGUCUUAGAGGACGGUCGGUCACACUGACACUGAAUAACGGGUCAGACUCCUACGGGAGGCAGCAGUCGGAAUUUUGGGCAAUGGGCGAAAGCCUGACCCAGCAACGCCGCGUGAAGGAUGAAGUAUUUCGGUAUGUAAACUUCGAAAGAAUAGGAAGAAUAAAUGACGGUACUAUUUAUAAGGUCCGGCUAACUACGUGCCAGCCG
rnacentral:rRNA from 1 species